UACUCUUGGUUCUGCAUUUCUUCAUUUUUGCUUCACAUCUUCUCUUCUCUUAGUUCUCUCUGGCGUCUUCUUCUCCUCCGCAAGCUCCUUCGCAUUGAUGGCAUUGACGGCAGAGUUCAAAACCGCCAAUCCGCGACUCUUUUCCGAUCUGCUCGUCAAAACCCUUGUGCUCUUGGAUCGCGCCUCCUCUAGAAGCUAGGUGGAUGCCAAAAAUUUGCGCUUCCAGCUUGAUGAGCACCGUGGCUCAUCUUCAUUUCCUGAAGCAUAUUUUCAUAUAGCAUUUGCGUAAGGAUUUGGUUGAUAAGGCUUUAAAGAGAAAUAUUGGAGACAAUUUGUCUGCAGUUGUGAUUUGCUUCCAGCAGCAACCUCCUCGCAAACUUGGAGACAAGGAUUGCCAUCAAGCUUGAAAAAGGUCUUCCACCCAAUAAUUAUAUGUGCAACAUUUGCAGAGCUGUCAGCAAUUGCUUUGGUUUCUUUCCAAGUCCUUUUUAAUGUUAUAGAGCAAACUGAUUUUAUGUUUUGCCCCAGGUCCCUACUGUUCUAGUUCAAAAGCUAUUUAAUCAAAUUUUUCAAUACAUCAAUGUGGAACUCUUUAAUAGGUAAACAUGUCCUUUUUCAUUCAAUCCUUUUUACAGUAAUGGACUAAUUAUAACUAUUUAAUCUGAUUUGAAAUCUGAUUGUAGUAUUGAUAGCUUCUUAUUCUGGUUUGGGAAACUAACUUAGGAAAGAAAUUCUGAUGGACGUGAGGGCAGUAGCUUGUAUGCAAUCAGAUUUUGUUUUCUGCUGGAUCCAUGCUUCAAUGGUUUUAGUUUUUUUGGGUUGUGUUGUGUGACUUAUAUUAUCUGUGUUGAUGAGUGAGCAGGGAAAUGAAUUGCGGUCUGGUCCAGACAGAGUGAAAUACUUGGGACCCUUUUCGGCUCAGACUCCCUCUUAUUUGACUGGAGAAUUCCCAGGGGACUAUGGAUGGGACACUGUUGGAUUGUCUGCUGAUCCUGAAGUAAAUAAUCUUGUAUACUGAUUACUUUGUUUCUUCCUCUGUAGGUGGUUAUAUCUUUUUCAAAGAUCAUUCUCAUCUCAAUUCGACCAAGCACAGAAACUCUAGGAAAACUUCCUGGCACUAACUUUCUGGUAGACAAGACUGAAAAUCUUCAUCACCGGGGUGUCACACACGUGAUUUGCUGCACAGGAACAAUAGCAUUUCCUUAAAGCAUUGAUUUACUGCAGCAUUUGAUGUCAUAACUAGAAUGCAAUAGAAGAUUAGUUAUCUAAAGAUUCAAGAGUGGAAAAUAUUGGGUUGGAGUGAAGAAUCUAGUAUCUGCAUUGCCUUCCUCACAGAAGAGAGUUGUUCUUGUGUCAUAUGACCAAAUUCAAUGAAUUGCCAUGGAGACGUGUGACAGGAAGAGCAAAGAGAAUAGUUCCAAAAGCUCCUCCUCUACCAUAUUCUAGGCUUGCACCAUCAUUAGCUCGUCUUCCCACCACUGCACCACCUUCCUCCAUUGAUGACAACAACCAAUUAGUUUGUCCUGUUUGUUUGACCAAUCCAAGAGACUUGGCCUUCGGGUGUGGUCACAUGGUAGAAGAUGCUUGAAUAUCUGUUUUGUAAAUUUCUUUUAGUUUCAAAAUAAUAUGAUCUUUAUAAUCUUAUCCUCAUGUAAUUAAUAGGAAGGAAGAAAAUUUUAAUUGUGAUGCUGAAAUAUAAAAAACUAAAAGAAGUAUAUACAAGGAAUAACUCCUUUAAAAUUACAUUACAGAUUAAAAUAUUAAUAAUUCGUUUAAUUGUUUUGUAAAACCGACUAUUAUGGAUAUGAAUGAAUAAUAAUAUUUUUUAUUAAUGGAAAAAGUAUUUUUUUUACCUUGAGUUAAAUGUAUUUAAAGAACAUACUUAGAGUAUUUAAUAUUGUUUCAUCUUAACACAAAAAGAAAAAAAAUGCAUGUUUCAGAUUUGAGUCAAUCAAUCACCUAGAACAAUUACUUAGAAUGACUCUAAUUUGAUUAGCUAAAGACUCUUUGUACUUGCUUGGAGUAGUUCAACUUGUUUCCAUUUGAGAAUCAUAAUUUAACUUGUAGUGCUCACAUCAACCGGGAAGCUUUGAGUGUAGAUAUUAUGUCAUGAGGCACAUGUAGAAAAUUAUAUCUGCAAAUGUCGUUGACUAAUGGAAAUUGGUUACGGGAACAUUUUAUAACUAAGAUUUUAAGCCAUUAAUAUUAUAACUUUACUCAAACUAUUCAU